rnacentral:rRNA from 1 species
GGUAAAUCUCGUGCCAGCCACCGCGGUCACACAAGAGACCCAAGCUAAUCGUUUGCGGCGUAAAGAGUGGACUCAUGCUUAUCACACUAACUAAGGUCAAAACGCAACUGAGCUGUCAUAAGCCUAAGAUGCAUUUAAAACCGCCCUAAAGAUGACCCUAAAUUCACAAGACUUAAUGAACUCCACGAAAGCCAGGGCACAAACUGGGAUUAGAUACCCCACUAUGCCUGGCCCUAAAUCUUGAUGCUCUAUAUAACCAAAGCAUCCGCCUGAGAACUACGAGCACAAACGCUUAAAACUCUAAGGACUUGGCGGUGCCCCAAACCCACCUAGAGGAGCCUGUUCUGUAAUCGAUACUCCACGAUACACCCGACCACUUCUUGCCAUGGACAGCCUACAUACCGCCGUCGCCAGCUCACCUCCUCUGAGAGCACUACAGUGAGCACAACCGCCCUAACCCCGCUAACAAGACAGGUCAAGGUAUAGCUUAUGAAGUGGAAGAAAUGGGCUACAUUUUCUAAUCUAGAAAAUCCCACGAAAAGGGGCAUGAAAUAGCCCCUAGAAGGCGGAUUUAGCAGUAAAGAGGGAUAAUAUAAGCCCCCUUUAAGCUGGCUCUGGGGCACGUACAUACCGCCCGUCACCCUCCUCAUAAGCUCUAAACUACCAAUAAAUAAUACUCCUACCUGCUAAAGAUGAGGUAAGUCGUAACAAGGUAAGCAUACUGGA